CUCCUACGGGAGGCAGCAGUAGGGAAUAUUGGUCAAUGGGCGGAAGCCUGAACCAGCCAUGCCGCGUGCAGGAUGACGGCCUUCUGGGUUGUAAACUGCUUUUAUACAGGAAGAAAAGGGUCAUGCGUGACACAUUGACGGUACUGUAUGAAUAAGCACCGGCUAACUCCGUGCCAGCAGCCGCGGUAAUACGGAGGGUGCAAGCGUUGUCCGGAUUUAUUGGGUUUAAAGGGUGCGUAGGCGGGUUAUUAAGUCAGUGGUGAAAGUUUACGGCUCAACCGUAAAAGUGCCAUUGAUACUGGUAGCCUUGAGUACAGUAGAGGUAGGCGGAAUUUAUGGUGUAGCGGUGAAAUGCAUAGAUACCAUAAAGAACACCGAUAGCGUAGGCAGCUUACUAUUCUGUAACUGACGCUGAGGCACGAAAGCGUGGGGAGCGAACAGGAUUAGAUACCCUGGUAGUCCACGCUGUAAACGAUGAAGACUCGCUGUUGGCGAUACACAGUCAGUGGCCAAGCGAAAGCGUUAAGUCUUCCACCUGGGGAGUACGAUCGCAAGAUUGAAACUCAAAGGAAUUGACGG
rnacentral:rRNA from 1 species